GACAGAGGGUGCAAGCGUUGCUCGGAAUCACUGGGCGUAAAGGGCGCGUAGGCGGGAUGGCAAGUCGGUCGUGAAAUCCUUCGGCUCAACCGAAGAACGUCGGCCGAUACUGCCGUUCUUGAGGGAUGCAGAGGAGAUUGGAAUUCCCGGUGUAGCGGUGAAAUGUGUAGAGAUCGGGAGGAACACCGGUGGCGAAGGCGGGUCUCUGGGCAUCUCCUGACGCUGAGGCGCGAAAGCGUGGGGAGCAAACGGG
rnacentral:rRNA from 1 species